CCACAGGCCUGCCAGAGCAGGGCCAGGGGCUGCUCGGGAGAUAUGCAUUGAACCUCCCCCAUGAUGCCCUACUCUUGCAACCCUGCCCCCUGCCCAGAGAAAAGCUCCCAGAGUGUAUGAACAAACUGGGGGGCACCGUGAAAGACCUGCCUUUCCCAGGGCAGAGAGGGACCUUCAGCAUUCAGCUCUGCCUGCCUAGACAAGGAGACCCCCACCGCCACCCAGGGCCUAUGCAGCCCCGAAUUUUGCAAACCAAACACCUUCCUACUGAAUCCUUUCACAGCUGUGAGCAUCUCAGGUUGGCCAAGUGACCUUUCUUUCGACCGUGUUCAUUUUCCACCAAUGGCUCCCUCUAGCUAACCUUUUUAUGGGGUUGAUAAUUUGUUUUAAAAUCAAUAAUAAAAAUAAAACACCUGUGUGAUUUUGUGCAGAGAUGUAACUUCCUUUUUAGUAGGAGCAGCCCCCCCUUAAAUCCCUGAGAGGAGUUUGCUUUCUCUUAUUCUGGGUUCUCGGAAACAGGUGCAGGGUACGGAGGAGCUACCGAUUGUCCUAGCAGGGAGUUGUUCUGAAAUGACACCUGGCUCUUGUCUAUCAUAAAUACUUUAAAAUAAGUCAAGGAUCCCUGCUUGGGGCUCGGGGCAAGGGUGGUGUGGCAGCACCUCCCUUAAAUACCAAUGAUGCUGCCUGGCCUGGUGGGGCACUCCGAUAAUCCCAGCAGCUGGGGAGGCUGAGGCAGGAGGAUCUCGAGUUCAAAGCCAGCCUCAGCAACUUAGUGAGGUCCUAAGCAACUCAGCGAGACCCUGUCUCUAAAUAAAAUAUAAAAAAGGAUGGGGAUGUGGCUCAGUGGUCAGGCACCCCUGGGUUCAAUCCCUGGUACCAAAAUAAAUAAAUAAAUUUGAAAAAAUGAUGCUGAAGGUGGGAAAAUUCCAGGUGACUCUGCUCAUUCAUGGUGGUACACAAGUGGGACAAAGGACAGUCCUCCAUCCUCAGGGGCCACUCCCACCCAUGUCAAAUUCUUUGGAGCUUGGGGCUGUU
rnacentral:lncRNA from 1 species